rnacentral:misc_RNA from 1 species
UUUCCGUAGGUGAACCUGCGGAAGGAUCAUUAUCAAACAGCGGCCUUCGGGCCUUGCUGCACCCUUGUCUUUUGCGUACCGUAUGUUUCCUCGGCGGGCUUGCCUGCCGGUUGGACAUUAUCAAACCUUUUUGUAGUUGCAAUCAGCGUCUGAAAAAACUUAAUAGUUACAACUUUCAACAACGGAUCUCUUGGUUCUGGCAUCGAUGAAGAACGCAGC